AGCAUCCGCGGUAAUUCCAGCUCCAAUAGCGUAUAUUAAAGUUGUUGCAGUUAAAAAGCUCGUAGUUGAAUUUCGGGGUCAGUAGGUCGGUCGUGCCACUGGUAUGAACUGGUUUUACUGAUUCCUCCCUCUUGAAGAACUGUAAUGCCAUUAAUUUGGUGUUGUAGGGAAUCAGGACUGUUACUUUGAAAAAAUUAGAGUGUUUAAAGCAGGCUUUAGCUUGAAUACAUUAGCAUGGAAUAAUGAAAUAGGACGUUUGAUCCUAUUUUGUUGGUUUCUAGGAUUGACGUAAUGAUUAAUAGGGAUAGUUGGGGGCAUUAGUAUUCAAUUGUCAGAGGUGAAAUUCUUGGAUUUAUUGAAGACUAACUACUGCGAAAGCAUUUGCCAAGGAUGUUUUCAUUAAUCAAGAACGAAAGUUAGGGGAUUCGAAGACGAUCAGAUACCGUCGCUAUUCUUAACCAUAAACUAUGCCGACUAGGGAUCGGAUGAUGUUAAUUUUUUAAUGACUCA
rnacentral:rRNA from 1 species